rnacentral:rRNA from 1 species
GACGAACGCUGGCGGCGUGCCUAAUACAUGCAAGUAGAACGCUGAAGGAGGAGCUUGCUUCUCUGGAUGAGUUGCGAACGGGUGAGUAACGCGUAGGUAACCUGCCUUGUAGCGGGGGAUAACCAUUGGAAACGAUAGCUAAUACCGCAUAAGAGUAGAUGUUGCAUGACAUUUGCUUAAAAGGUGCAAUUGCAUCACUACCAGAUGGACCUGCGUUGUAUUUGAGAGUUGGUGGGGUAACGGCUCACCAAGGCGACGAUACAUAGCCGACCGGAGAGGGGGAUCGGCCACACUGGGACUGAGACACGGCCCAGACUCCUAGGGGAGGCAGCAGUAGGGAAUCUUCGGCAAUGGACGGAAGUCUGACCGAGCAACGCCGCGUGAGUGAAGAAGGUUUUCGGAUCGUAAAGCUCUGUUGUAAGAGAAGAAAGAGUGUGAGAGUGGAAAGUUCACACUGUGACGGUAUCUUACCAGAAAGGGACGGCUAACUACGUG